UUACGGCCAUAUCACGUUGAAAUAUCAGUUCCCCGACGAUCACCGAAAUUAAGCAACGUUGAGCGUGGUCAGUACCGAGAUGGGUAUCCGCUUUGGAAUACCAGGUUCUGUA